UGUCUUUCUGGGAGCUUGCGUCGGUAUAACCUUUAACAACUAAUUCCUCCAAACCACCAUACACCAGAAAUUUAUCCUUGUUCCAAUAGUAGAUAAAAGGUCAUUGACACCGAUCAAUGGCCACCGGUUUUUAAAAAUCGGUGGGAAAAAUAAGGGAAAAAUUGGGUGAAAUUUUGAGGGAAGAUUAUUACCCCCGAUUCAAACCGAAUCGGUGGGGAAAAGAUUAAUCCCACCGGUUUUGAACCGGUGGCAAAAGUUUAAAAAAAAAAUCCAAAAAACGCCCCUCUAUUUUCUGUCUCUUUCCGCGUUCUCUUUCUCUUUCCUGACCCUCGACCUUCAAUCUCUCUUUUCUUUCUCCACCCUCCUCAUUUAGAUCUCCCUCUUCUCUCUCUCUUUCCUCUCUCCAACGUGCCGUCGUCCAUUUCACCUCGACGGCGCACUCUCCUCUCAGCUCUCUGUCUAUCUAUCCAUCCCACCUCGCAUUCACUCUCGUCUUAGCUCUCUAUUUCUCUCUUUCAUUUACCCUUGCACAACCACCAACGCCGCCGCCUAUUCGAACCAUGCAAGCAUCGAUUGGCCACAACCACCGUUGCCGCCGUCGUCAAUUUGAACCAACUACUACAACCACAACAAACUUGAAUCAAUUAUCGAUUCAAAAAUCAGAAAUUUGAUGAUAGGGUUUCUGGGUUCUUCAAGUUUGCAUUUGGUCCAAUUAUUCAAGGUUAGGGUCCAAAUGGACCCAGUUGCUUCGGUUGUCGAUAAGACCAUUAUCAGCAGUGAGGAGAAAAAAAACCUCUCAAUCUCUCUCUACCCACUUUCUCUCUCUUUUCAUCCAAUUCCUCUCAUGAGAGGUUUUUUUUACUACAUCAAUGCUUAAA